UCUGGAAUCACAGGGCAGUGAGGCCUCGGUAGGGGGCUGCCUUCCUCAGCUUAGCAGUGACUGUCAGAAGGCAGAGAUUAACCAACCAUUUGUCCUUGAAACCUCAAAAAGGGUGAACUACUCAUGCUUCAAGACUCAUGUGCCAUUUUCUCCGAGGGACAGGAUCUCUGGCCCAUGCUCCCGGCAGUGAGCUGGCCAUGUGUGCCCAUACCUGCCUUGGACUUACUCUAUAAUAGAAUUUAUGAAAUUGAACGGAUUUGCUUAUAUAUCUGGCUCUCUCCUUUUGACUGCACACUCGCUUAGAUUUUUUUUUUCUCAAGUGUCGCCCUCAUUGGCAAGCCUUUUGGGAUCCCCUCCCCAGAGCUAGAUAGCUCCCCUGUGCUCCCGCGUAUCCAGAGCUCACGGAUAUGACGG